AACUUAAUAGUUCAGAUUCACGAGAAAGGGAUCUUGAAGUCUCUCAUCUCAAGCAGAAAAUUAAUGAAUACAAUGAGGAAAGGCAAGGAUGGAUAGAGGAAAUCGACGGAAAGCAGACAGAUUUAGUUACUGCGCAGAUAAAACUC